rnacentral:rRNA from 1 species
UACGUAGGGUGCAGGCGUUAAUCGGAAUUACUGGGCGUAAAGCGUGCGCAGGCGGUUUGCUAAGACAGGUGUGAAAUCCCCGGGCUUAACCUGGGAACUGCGCUUGUAACUGGCAAGCUAGAGUGUGGCAGAGGGGGGUAGAAUUCCACGUGUAGCAGUGAAAUGCGUAGAGAUGUGGAGGAACACCGAUGGCGAAGGCAGCCCCCUGGGUCAAGACUGACGCUCAUGCACGAAAGCGUGGGGAGCAAACAGG